UACGGAGGAUCCGAGCGUUAUCCGGAUUUAUUGGGUUUAAAGGGUGCGUAGGCGGCUUUUUUAAGUCAGCGGUGAAAUUUUGCAGCUUAACUGUAACAGUGCCGUUGAUACUGGGGAGCUAGGAUUUGGUUGCUGUGGGUGGAAUGUGUGGUGUAGCGGUGAAAUGCUUAGAGAUCACACAGAAUAUCGAUUGCGAAGGCAGCUCACAAAGCCAAGAUUGACGCUGAGGCACGAAAGUGUGGGGAUCAAACAGGAUUAGAUA
rnacentral:rRNA from 1 species